rnacentral:rRNA from 1 species
CCGGAUUAAUACCGCAGUACGCCCGUACGGGGGAAAGCCGGGGGAUCUUCGGACCUGGCGCUAGUAGAUGAGCCCGCGUGAGAUUAGCUUGUUGGUGGGGUAAUGGCCUACCAAGGCAACGAUCUCUAGCUGGGCUGAGAGGACGAUCAGCCACACUGGGACUGAGACACGGCCCAGACUCCUACGGGAGGCAGCAGUGGGGAAUAUUGGACAAUGGGCGAAAGCCUGAUCCAGCAAUGCCGCGUGUGUGAAGAAGGCCUGAGGGUUGUAAAGCACUUUCAAUCGUGAAGAAAAGUUGCAGGCUAAUACCCUGUGACCUUGACGUUAACGAUACAAGAAGCACCGGCUAACUCCGUG